AUACGGAGGGUGCAAGCGUUGUUCGGAAUUACUGGGCGUAAAGCGCGCGUAGGCGGUUUGUUAUGUCAGAUGUGAAAGCCCACGGCUCAACCGUGGAAGUGCAUUUGAAACUGUCAGACUUGAGUACUAGAGGGGAAAGUGGAAUUCCCGGUGUAGAGGUGAAAUUCGUAGAUAUCGGGAGGAAUACCGGUGGCGAAGGCGACUUUCUGGCUAGAUACUGACGCUGAGGCGCGAAAGCGAGGGGAGCGAACAGGAUUAGAUACCCCAGUAGUCC
rnacentral:rRNA from 1 species